UACGAAGGGUGCAAGCGUUACUCGGAAUUACUGGGCGUAAAGCGUGCGUAGGCGGUUUUUUAAGUCCGUUGUGAAAGCCCUGGGCUCAACCUGGGAAUGGCAGUGGAAACUAGGAGACUUGAAUCUGGCAGAGGGGGGUGGAAUUCCACGUGUAGCAGUGAAAUGCGUAGAGAUGUGGAGGAACACCGAUGGCGAAGGCAGCCCCCUGGGCUGAGAUUGACGCUCAGGCACGAAAGCGUGGGGAGCAAACAGG
rnacentral:rRNA from 1 species